rnacentral:rRNA from 1 species
UACGAAGGGGGCUAGCGUUGCUCGGAAUCACUGGGCGUAAAGGGCGCGUAGGCGGCGUUUUAAGUCGGGGGUGAAAGCCUGUGGCUCAACCACAGAAUGGCCUUCGAUACUGGGACGCUUGAGUAUGGUAGAGGUUGGUGGAACUGCGAGUGUAGAGGUGAAAUUCGUAGAUAUUCGCAAGAACACCGGUGGCGAAGGCGGCCAACUGGACCAUUACUGACGCUGAGCGCGAAAGCGUGGGGGAGCAAACAGG